GACUGUCACCCUCCGUAAGUUGGCCUAGAACAAGAGGCCAGAAAAGACAGCAGGAGCCGGUGUCAUUUCCGACAUGGCGUGUACUAAUGUGGCUGGAUGGUUACUGUUUAAACCCCCGGCGUGUGAGGGAUGCAAAGUGUGUUUUACUCAAACAUUGAAGGACUAGAACCCAAGGUGUUAUUUCCAGACCCCCUUGUCCACAGUCUCCUUGAGGUCCGGCUGCUCCAGUGUGGCCGUUAAGACCUGCAGAGUCACCACGGGCAGCUUGCCUCGCUUCUCUCCUCCCUGCUCUGGAAACACGGAUUGAUGUGAGAGGACCUGCAAGGGUUACGCAAUUGAUGGCAUCUUCCUGCUGCUGACACAGACGGACAUUGCCCAGGUGAUGAAGAUCGAGCUGGGUCCAGCCCUGAAGGUUUACAAC